AGAUAAUGGUGCAGAUGUGAGGACCAGAGAGGCAGCCCCAAAUUCUCCUCCUAGAUGGCCAUAUUUCUAACCAGGAUGUGCACUCCUCAUAAACUGGGACCAUGAAGAAGGACCCUGCCCUGAAGCUGCUCAAAACCAUCUGCAGUUCCAGAAGGGUGGAGCCCAACACAGGCUUUGAACUCACAAGCCUGAGAUAAAGAGUCAAGAACUAACCCACUUGGCCACACAAGCAUCAUGGGGUCAUUGUAAUCUUGAUCCUGAGUCUCAUCGAUGGCACGUCUUACUUUUUUACCUGCCCAAGGCUGAGAGCAGGAAUCAGACUGGGCUGGAGUUGUGAGGGAAGGGGGAAAUUUGAAGCAGGCAGCCUCAGUGGUACCCAUGAAGCUUUAGCAAUUUGAGGGCCAGAUAGAUGCUCACAGGAGUAAAGAAGUUCAGGUGGCAGAAACCUCAAGCCCAGUAUUUACUUCCCCUGCUGCUCAGGCACUCUGUGGGGAAAAGAUCAACUAGGGCCUGCUGGGGUAUAGGGAUCUAAGGGAGGUAACAGAAUGCAGCCCCUGUCAUGUCCCCUGCAGACCCUGAACUGUAAUGAGAUGAGGCUUUAGCCCUGCUGCUCUGACUGCAACUGCAAGAAGAUCAGCUGGUAAUCCAACAGCUGCCAUUCACCCUAGAGAUACUGCACUCAAGUCUCCUCCCAGUCUCUGCUCCUGCACAAGAAACAUUCUGCAGAUCGAUCCGGCCUUUGAUCAAGUUUCUAUCAGGCUGUCCCAGUCCUCAAAGAUCAAUCAACCUCUCUUUUAUUUAAGUCACAUAAGUAGUGUAUUUAUUCAUUCAGUUAGUAUGGAAUUUGUGGGAUGAGAUCUCUAGUUGCCAGGAAUAUGCAGUGAAAGUGAGAUUGCUGGGUAGUGAAACUCAGAAUUGGAAUCCAUCAGAGUGACUGAGAACUGAGCCAAGGGAACAGCAUGCAGCCCCCAGAUCUCCAGGGAAAGCCCGCUGCUGCUGCUCCAGGGGGGCUGAUGGUCUACCUAUGAAGGAGAUGGAGUAGGGACAGUGUGAAGCACAACAGACCAGCAGUACUGUUGGGGGAAGAGUGAGAAGCAGAAGCCUAAAUGACAGUCUUCAGACACCGCAUGGUCCCUGUCUGUUUCCAAAUGGCUCUUGUAGCAACAAAAAUUAAAGAUGAACCUUGAUUUCU